rnacentral:rRNA from 1 species
CUACGGGGGGCACCAGUGAGGAAUAUUGCACAAUGGGGGAAACCCUGAUGCAGCAACGCCGCGUGGAGGAUGACGCAUUUCGGUGUGUAAACUCCUUUUAUGAGUCAAGAAAAUGACGGUAGCUCAUGAAUAAGCACCGGCUAACUCCGUGCCAGCAGCCGCGGUAAUACGGAGGGUGCAAGCGUUACUCGGAAUCACUGGGCGUAAAGGACGCGUAGGCGGGCUUGUAAGUCAGGUGUGAAAUCCUACAGCUUAACUGUAGAACUGCACUUGAAACUACGAGCCUAGAGUAUGGGAGGGGCAGAUGGAAUUAGUGGUGUAGGGGUAAAAUCCGUAGAUAUCACUAGGAAUACCGAAAGCGAAGGCGAUCUGCUGGAACAUUACUGACGCUAAGGCGUGAAAGCGUGGGGAGCAAACGGGAUUAGAUACCCUCGUAGUC